rnacentral:rRNA from 1 species
AGUGGCGAACGGGUGAGUAACACGUGAGCAAUCUGCCCUUGACUCUGGGAUAACUACGGGAAACUGUGGCUAAUACCGGAUACGACACCUUGGGGCAUCCCAGGGUGUGGAAAGAAUUUCGGUCAAGGAUGAGCUCGCGGCCUAUCAGCUAGUUGGUGAGGUAAUGGCUCACCAAGGCGACGACGGGUAGCCGGCCUGAGAGGGUGACCGGCCACACUGGAACUGAGACACGGUCCAGACUCCUACGGGAGGCAGCAGUGGGGAAUACUGCACAAUGGGCGAAAGCCUGAUGCAGCAACGCCGCGUGAGGGAUGAAGGCCUUCGGGUUGUAAACCUCUUUUAGCAGGGAAGAUGCGAAAGUGACGGUACCUGCAGAAAAAGCACCGGCUAACUACGUGCCAGCAGCCGCGGUAAUACGUAGGGUGCAAGCGUUGUCCGGAAUUAUUGGGCGUAAAGAGCUCGUAGGCGGUUUGUCACGUCUGCUGUGAAAAUCCGAGGCUCAACCUCGGACCUGCAGUGGGUACGGGCAGGCUAGAGUGCGGUAGGGGAGAUGGGAAUUCCUGGUGUAGCGGUGGAAUGCGCAGAUAUCAGGAGGAACACCAAUGGCGAAGGCACAUCUCUGGGCCGUAACUGACGCUGAGGAGCGAAAGCGUGGGGAGCAAACAGGAUUAGAUACCCUGGUAGUCCACGCCGUANACGGUGGGUGCUAGU